rnacentral:rRNA from 1 species
GACGAACGCUGGCGGCGUGCUUAACACAUGCAAGUYUACGAGAUAAGGUAGCAAUAUCUUUAGUAAGUGGCGCACGGGUGAGUAACACGUAAGUAACCUACCUUGGAUUUGGAAUAACCCCGAGAAAUCGGGGCUAAUACCGAAUUAUGCAGCGGCACCACUGGUGAUGUUGUUAAAGUCUAUAUGACGUCUAAAGAUGGGCUUGCGUCUGAUUAGCUAGUGGUGAGGUAACGGCCCACCAAGGCUACGAUCAGUAGCUGGUCUGAGAGGAUGAUCAGCACACUGGAACUGUGACACGGUCCAGACUCCUACGGGAGGCAGCAGUGAGGAAUAUUGGGAAUGCCCGGAAGGUGACCCAGCAACGCCGCGUGGAGGAUGAAGGCCGUAAGGUUGUAAAUCCUGUUAGAGGGGAAGAAAAAUCUCGAUCAAAUCGAGAACUGACUGUACCCUCAGAGAAGCCCCGGCUAACUACGUGCCAGCAGCCGCGGU